CUUCUUCCAGGCAGGUAUCGUCCCCUCUGCCUAUUCCUCUGUAGCUUUCCUUCCAGGCAGGUAUCGUCCCCUCUGCCUAUUCCUCUGCAGCUCUCCUUCCAGGCAGGUAUCGUCCCCUCUGCCUAUUCCUCUGCAGCUCUCCUUCCAGGCAGGUAUCGUCCCCUCUGCCUAUUCCUCUGCAGCUCUCCUUCCAGGCAGGUAUCGUCCCCUCUGCC